UAUAUAAUUUUGUGGAAUCUUUUUAUUUAUUUGUUGUAUCAUGGACUUUAUCAUGCUGUUACCAUAGAUUUUGGUAUAUGCUUUUGCAUAAUUUUAAUCAACUUUUGUACUUUCAACUUAUUUGGGAACAGAACAUGGAGCGAGAACAAGUCGGAGAAGGUUCUGUGAUGCCUUGUAGACCUUCGAAGCA